CAGUCGCCACGGUAAUACGAAGGGGGCUAGCGUUGCUCGGAAUUACUGGGCGUAAAGGGCGCGUAGGCGGAUGUUUAAGUCAGAGGUAAAAGCCCAGGGCUCAACCUUGGAACUGCCUUUGAUACUGGACAUCUUGAGUGUGGGAGAGGUGAGUGGAACUCCGAGUGUAGAGGUGAAAUUCGUAGAUAUUCGGAAGAACACCAGUGGCGAAGGCGACUCACUGGCCCAUUACUGACGCUGAGGCGCGAAAGCGUGGGGAGCAAACAGGAUUAGAUACCCCCGUAGUCCCUGUCUCUUAUAA
rnacentral:rRNA from 1 species